AUUGAACGCUGGCGGCAGGCCUAACACAUGCAAGUCGAACGAGUGGCGGACGGGUGAGUAAUGUCUGGGACACUGCCCGAUGGUGGGGGAUAACUACUGGAAACGGUAGUUAAUACCGCAUACCAUCGGAUGUGCGCAGAUGGGAUUAGCUAGUAGGUGGGGUAACGGGUUACCUAGGAGACGAUCCCUAGCUGGUCUGAGAGGAUGACCGGCCACACUGGCACUGAGGCACGGUCCAGACUCCUACGGGAGGCAGCAGGGGGGAAUAUUGCGCAAUUGGCGCAAGGCUGAUGCAGCCAUGCCGCGUGUAUGAAGGAGGCCUUCGGGUUGUAAAGUACUUUCAGUGAGGAGGCGUUACUCGCAGAAGAAGCACCGGCUAACUACGUGCCAGCAGCCGCGGUAAUUC
rnacentral:rRNA from 1 species